GUCGGGGUGGCUCAGCCUGGUGGAGCGUCGGACUCAUAAUCCGAAGGUCCGGGGUUCAACUCCCCGCCCCGACA
rnacentral:tRNA from 1 species